rnacentral:lncRNA from 1 species
AAGCCUUUUUUGUCCAAGAGUCAUCUCACAAGGAAGCCUGAUAUAUAAAAGCAGGGCACUGGAGCUGGAAGUGUGACUCUUUGGGGUACAUCUUCACCGCAUGGGUCACCCCCUUGAGUGGGAGAACCAGCAGGAGACUCAAACCUGAGAGCUCUGCACCAGCAUGCUCCUGACCGUGACACACUCAGGCAUCCUUACCACAUCAACCAGUGCUGUGGAGGCUGCCCCAGGGCUGGCCCUCUCUGCACCUUGCCAUCUGUCUCCAGUUCUCUUCUCUGCACCAGGAGGCCAAGGGACAGAUCUACAAGCCCUCCGACCAAGCACAUGUCCAACAGGGAAACCUAAAGCCAGUUUUCCUUUCUUGCAAAAAAAAGCCUGGAAGAGGAGCCUGGAAGAGGAGCCUGGAAGUUGGCAGCUGUUAUAUCUCAGGGAGUUGGGAAUAUGGAGGUUUUAAUUUCCGUUUUGCACCUUUCUG